CAGUAGCCGCGGUAAUACGAAGGGUGCAAGCGUUAAUCGGAAUUACUGGGCGUAAAGCGUGCGUAGGCGGUUUGUUAAGUCUGUUGUGAAAUCCCCGGGCUCAACCUGGGAAUGGCAAUGGAUACUGGCAAGCUAGAGUGUGUCAGAGGAUGGUGGAAUUCCCGGUGUAGCGGUGAAAUGCGUAGAGAUCGGGAGGAACAUCAGUGGCGAAGGCGGCCAUCUGGGACAACACUGACGCUGAGGCUCGAAAGCGUGGGGAGCAAACAGGAUUAGAUACCCCUGUAGUCCCUGUCUCUUAUAC
rnacentral:rRNA from 1 species